rnacentral:lncRNA from 1 species
GAAAGGCGAAGGGGAAACCACCCCCCCGCCCCGGAGGACCUGCAGAAACGCCAGAGCACAGGCCAGCCCUGGAGAGGGUUGGGCAAGGAUCUUCCGUCUUCGUGCCCCCUCCCUCCUCUCUCUGGGCCGUCUCCUCAUUCCUGGGUACCCCCUCUUCUGUUAGAGGCCCACUCCCACUGUGUAUUCUCAGGACCCUAACCCACCCAAACCAACCCCCAUCUACUUAGGAAAAGCACGCAUCCUCACGCUUCUGCUUCCUAGUUGUCUGAACUAUUGCAAUUUGCCUGACCUCUCUGAAGUGAAAUAGAGCUCCUAAUCCAUACCUGGCCAUGUGCUUUCAGCUAGAAGUAACCAGAAAGGCACCUCAAAUAGGUGUCACCAUUCAGGAAAUGUGUUGACCCACGUGAUCAGAAGUUCGAAGGCGGGACAGACCGAUUGAAUCUGUGUGUCAGGGGCCCACAUCCUUUUUCUGCCUUCCAUCCUCAGUGUCAGCUGCAUCUUAAGGCUCCUUUCACAGUCAGAGUGGCUGCCAGCAGGACAGAGAAAGCCACGCCCUCCACCAGGAAGAUAGCUGAUGCCAGGGGAAUGCUGUGUGCUCAUUGGCCUCUGCCUGGGUUUCUAAACUAGUUACUAGCAAGGUAGGGACAGGAUUGCCGUGAUGGGUAUCGAGACCAGUAGGCCUCAAACUUGAGCAUCGUCAGAAUUACCGAAAGGCUAAUCAGGGCCACCCCUGGGCUGAGGUCAGUUCUUGCACAGUGAGGAGAGGUGAAAUGGAAGUGGGAGGGGAAAGCCAAAAUAGGUGCUUUGAAGAAAGUGCAAAUCUACAACAGAGGUCAAAGUUGGAAUUUGGAAACGGACUGCAAAGAACCAUGAGGGAAUAUUUUGAUUACGGAAGUAAGUACACCCAAGAAUGUACAUUUGUCAAAAUCCAACAAAACAUACAUUUAAAAUGGGAAUUUGGGGUUUUUUUGUCUUUUUGUCUUUUAGGGCCACACCGGCAGCAUAUGGAGGUUCCAAGGCUAGGGGACGAAGCAGAGCUGUAGCCAACAGCCUACGUCAGAGCCAUAGCAACGUGGGAUCUGAGCCAUGUCUGCGAUCUACACCUCAGCCCAUGGCAACACCGGAUCCCCAACCCACUGAACAAGGCCAGGGAUCGAAUCCACACCCUCAUGGAUGCUAGUCGGGUUCAUUAACCACUGAGCCAUGACGGGAACUCCUAAAAUGGGAAUUUUGUUGUAUGUAAAUUAUGCAUCAACCAGGGAGAUGAAGAGUUAUUUUUUAAUGAGUAUAGAGUUGUGGAAUAUAAAAAUUUCGCCUUUUUCAUGGUGGU